GAUGAACGCUGGCGGCGUGCCUAACACAUGCAAGUCGAACGGACUUACAUUGAAGCCUAGCGAUAUGUAAGUUAGUGGCGGACGGGUGAGUAGCGCGUGGGUAACCUGCCUUGUACUGGGGGACAACAGUUGGAAACGACUGCUAAUACCGCAUAAGCGCACAGCUUCGCAUGAAGCAGUGUGAAAAACUCCGGUGGUACAAGAUGGACCCGCGUCUGAUUAGCUAGUUGGUGGGGUAAUGGCCUACCAAGGCGACGAUCUCUAGCUGGUCUGAGAGGAUGGCCAGCCACACUGGGACUGAGACACGGCCCAGACUCUUACGGGAGGCAGCAGUGGGGAAUAUUGCACAAUGGGGGAAACCCUGAUGCAGCCAUGCCGCGUGUAUGAAGAAGGCCUUAGGGUUGUAAAGUACUUUCGUGGAGGAGGAAUGCUUAGCAUCUAAUAGGUGCUGAGAUUGACGUUACUCCAAGAAGAAGCACCGGCUAACUCCGUGCCAGCAGCCGCCGUAA
rnacentral:rRNA from 1 species